GACGAACGCUGGCGGCGUGCUUAACACAUGCAAGUCGAACGGAGUGGCGAACGGGUGAGUAACACGUGGGUGACCUGCCCCGCACUUCGGGAUAAGCCUGGGAAACUGGGUCUAAUACCGGAUAGUGUGGGAUGGGCGCGCGGCCUAUCAGCUUGUUGGUGGGGUAAUGGCCUACCAAGGCGGCGGCGGGUAGCCGGCCUGGGAGGGUGGACGGCCACAAUGGGACUACGAGACGGCCCAGACUCCAACGGGGGGCAGCGGGGGGGAAUAUUGCACAGUGGGGGGGAGCCUGAUGCAGCGACGCCGCGUGGGUGAUGACGGCCUUCGGGUUGUAAACUCCUUUCACCAUCGACGCGGUAGAUGGAGAAGAAGCACCGGCUAACUUCGUGCCAGCAGCCGCGGUAAUUC
rnacentral:rRNA from 1 species